rnacentral:rRNA from 1 species
GACCCGUGAUCCGGGUUGCGGACAGUGUCUGGUGGGUAGUUUGACUGGGGCGGUCUCCUCCUAAAGAGUAACGGAGGAGCACGAAGGUUGGCUAAUCCUGGUCGGACAUCAGGAGGUUAGUGCAAUGGCAUAAGCCAGCUUGACUGCGAGCGUGACGGCGCGAGCAGGUGCGAAAGCAGGUCAUAGUGAUCCGGUGGUUCUGAAUGGAAGGGCCAUCGCUCAACGGAUAAAAGGUACUCCGGGGAUAACAGGCUGAUACCGCCCAAGAGUUCAUAUCGACGGCGGUGUUUGGCACCUCGAUGUCGGCUCAUCACAUCCUGGGGCUGAAGUAGGUCCCAAGGGUAUGGCUGUUCGCCAUUUAAAGUGGUACGCGAGCUGGGUUUAGAACGUCGUGAGACAGUUCGGUCCCUAUCUGCCGUGGGCGCUGGAGAACUGAGGGGGGCUGCUCCUAGUACGAGAGGACCGGAGUGGACGCAUCACUGGUGUUCGGGUUGUCAUGCCAAUGGCACUGCCCGGUAGCUAAAUGCGGAAGAGAUAAGUGCUGAAAGCAUCUAAGCACGAAACUUGCCCCGAGAUGAGUUCUCCCUGAGACUUUA